UGCCUGUACCAUAGCCGACACAGGUGGGUAAGUAGAGUAUACUAAGGGGCGCGAGAUAACUCUCUCUAAGGAACUCGGCAAAAUAACUCCGUAACUUCGGGAGAAGGAGUGCCUUAUUCUUAAGGUUGCAAUAACAAGAUCCAAGCAACUGUUUAUCAAAAACACAGGUCUCCGCUAAGUCGUAAGACGAUGUAUGGGGGCUGACGCCUGCCCAGUGCCAGAAGGUUAAAGAAGUCGGUUAGCAAUAGCAAAGCUGGUAACUGAAGCCCUGGUGAACGGCGGCCGUAACUAUAACGGUCCUAAGGUAGCGAAAUUCCUUGUCGGGUAAGUUCCGACCCGCACGAAAGGCGUAAUGAUUUGGAUGCUGUCUCGGAGAGGGGCUCGGUGAAAUAGACUUGUCUGUGAAGAUGCGGACUACCUGCACCAGGACAGAAAGACCCUAUGAAGCUUUACUGUAACUUGAAAUUGAAAUUGGACUUUAUUCGCGCAGUAUAGGUGGGAGGCGUUGAUUAUAAUCUUGUGGGAUUAUUGGAGCCAUCAGUGAGAUACCACUCUUGUAAUGUUAGAUUUCUAACUUUGAAUCAUUAUCUGGUCAAAGGACAGUUUCAGGCGGGCAGUUUGACUGGGGCGGUCGCCUCCUAAACGGUAACGGAGGCGUACAAAGGUUUCCUCUGAACGGUUAGAAAUCGUAUCUAGAGUGUAAAGGCAUAAGGAAGCUUGACUGUGAGACCUACAAGUCGAGCAGGGACGAAAGUCGGUCUUAGUGAUCUGACGGUACUGAGUGGAAAGGCCGUCACUCAACGGAUAAAAGUUACUCUAAGGAUAACAGGCUGAUCUCCCCCAAGAGUUCACAUCGACGGGGAGGUUUGGCACCUCGAUGUCGGCUCAUCGCAUCCUGGGGCGGUAGUACGUCCCAAGGGUUGGGCUGUUCGCCCAUGAAAGCGGUACGCGAGCUGGGUUCAGAACGUCGUGAGACAGUUCGGUCCAUAUCCGGUGUAGGCGCUAGAAUAUUGAGAGGAGCCUUCUUUAGUACGAGAGGACCGAGAAGGACAUACCUCUGGUGUACCAGUUAUCGUGCCAACGGUAAACGCUGGGUAGCUAUGUAUGGAGUGGAUAACCGCUGAAAGCAUCUAAGUGGGAAGCCCACCUCAAGAUAAGUAUUCUCAUCACGUAAGUGAGUAAGGUCACGGUAAGACUAACCGUUUGAUAGGCAUUAAGUGUAAGUACAGUAAUGUAUGUGCUGAGAUGUCCUAAUAGACCGAGGACUUG
rnacentral:rRNA from 1 species